AUGAGGACUGAUUUGAUACAUUUUUUAUAUCAUAGGGACUAAAGGUUGACAUUUUUAAAAGCGGGGACUAAACUGAACAUCAGAACUUAACUUAGGGACCAAGACAAGGUUUAAACCUUUAAUUAAUUUGAAUAUUCUGAGCUAAUUAUUUGCAUUAUUAAUUGUAGGGAAAAUUUUAGAAAUAUAAUUUGAGACAUUUGGGAGAUUAAAUGAGGUGUGAAAAAGAAGGGGGCACUACGGUGAUUUUUCUCUUUGGGCUUUUGAGAAAGGGGUGCUUCAAGUGGAAAAUGGGUGACAUACAACAGUAUGAUGUCACGGCCCAUGACAUUCAAUUUUUGGAAAAAGAAGUGCUCUCAAGUGCAUGGAAAGUGGGCCAAUUUUAUUUGGCUGCUAGAAUGUGUUGAUUGAUUUUUAAAGAGUAACAUUUUUUGGCUUCUAGGAAAUAAGAAGCAC
rnacentral:lncRNA from 1 species